rnacentral:rRNA from 1 species
CCUACGGGAGGCUGCAGUGGGGAAUAUUGCACAAUGGGGGAAACCCUGAUGCAGCCAUGCCGCGUGUGUGAAGAAGGCCUUCGGGUUGUAAAGCACUUUCAGCGAGGAGGAAAGGUUGGCAGCUAAUACCUGUCAGCUGUGACGUUACUCGCAGAAGAAGCACCGGCUAACUCCGUGCCAGCAGCCGCGGUAAUACGGAGGGUGCAAGCGUUACUCGGAAUUACUGGGCGUAAAGCGCACGCAGGCGGUUGGAUAAGUCAGAUGUGAAAGCCCCGGGCUCAACCUGGGAAUUGCAUGUAAAACUGUCCAGCUAGAGUCUUGGAGAGGGGGGUAGAAUUCCAGGUGUAGCGGUGAAAUGCGUAGAGAUCUGGAGGAAUACCGGUGGCGAAGGCGGCCCCCUGGACAAAGACUGACGCUCAGGUGCGAAAGCGUGGGGAGCAAACAGGAUUAGAUACCCCGGUAGUCGCC